AAGUCGUAACAAGGUUUCCGUAGGUGAACCUGCGGAAGGAUCAUUAACGAAUAAUCUGUGGGAGCCGUUAGGCUUCCGCAGAAUAUAUACUCGGGGUGACUUGAUAGAUGGAAACAUCUAGCCCGACACUCCUGAGACAUAUACGCUUGAACCGUUUGACCGAGUAACAAAGAAUGAGACAACAACAACUUUUAACAAUGGAUCUCUUGGCUCUU
rnacentral:misc_RNA from 1 species